rnacentral:siRNA from 1 species
GACUGCAAUUUUUGGUCGCUGAA